CGUUGCAACCGGGUCUAAGAUUACGUUUGUGUUUCGAGUGCAAGUACCAGCAAACUGGCUAUUAUAACCCCUCUAUGCGGACCGGCAAAGUAGUGCCAGUGCGUACAUCUCUCGCGUAAAAAAAAAUGUGCAUAAUACCUUAACACGUAACUCUACACAUAAGUAUCUCUAAAGCACACAGACGGGUCCUAAUUAAUUAGCACCUUACAAUUAAUCGAUUUGCAUAAAGAUUGCCAUUUCGCACGUACCACUAGGCGUGAGCCAAUUCUUGGCCAAUCCUUCAGAAUGGGUAUCUGCCACUGUGACGUAAGAAGUCUUAAAUGUGUGCUAGACUUGCCACAUACUUCUUUGUGCAUGCACCUCUUAUUUUCAUUCUGUUGUAGACAAGUAUCAUGAGUCGCGUUUGUCAUUGUGACAUCGCUGCGUGGAUGUCUGGCAGUGCGUCUGCCCGAUUUGGUGUUUGAAUUUUGCAUAGCUUGUGAAAGGUGUAUUCUACAAACAUGAAAAAAAAAGUAAUGACAAAAUAUCAGAAAUGUAACCUUUGUGGCCGAUGGGCAAGCAUUUUGUGGGAUUUCACGAUGCGCAGGAUGGAAGUAAACAUAAUUGUACGCAUCGCCGUUAGUUACACAGGAUUUGAUUACACGUCUUGUUUGAUAUAAAUUCCAACGUAUGCUUGGGAUCUGUUUAAGUAUGCUUUCAGGUGACAUGCAUCACUCAUUCCGAAGUGAUAAUUUGGGCCAACUGGCAGAUUCGUAGUAUAAAAAAGGGUGAUGAUGCGGGAAACAAAACUCUGCUCCGGACCAUCUAUUCAGAUUUUGUGCGUUAUUACUUUUCAUAUUCCCUGUUUGUUAUUUGUAAGCCAAUUAUGCAUACGCUCCAUUGUUUUGGAGAAAACCAUAUACAAUGUAUAUGUAUGCAAUAUACAACUAUAUGUAUACGACCGAGAGCAUUUCUGGCGCUCUGUCAAGCUCGCUCUUUGCGUAGUCUGAAGAGCGCUGUGGGCCGUAUAUUUCAUUGAGUCGGGUGCCGAGUCUCGCGAAAUCUCGAGAAAGAGAAAUUAUUGUAAGUGAUCGCCCCAGAAUUCGCGCUUACUUAUGCUAAACGACGAAAACAGAAAAAUAAAGGCAUACUAGCAAUGGCGGGCACAAGCGAGGCUGGUUGUCCUGUCGUUUCAUUUAGUGGAUUGCACCUGACGCCAUAAUAUUCGAGGGAUGCGCCCAUAGAAGUGUCGAUGUCUUCCUCUCCCGAACAAAACGGCGCCGGAUGUCAUAAUGAGUUAUACUUCUUGGAGGGCUGAACACUGUUGAUAAACUAUAAUUUCCGAUAGAUCAUGGCAGCCUUUCACGGUGUCCAGAAUAGAACUCCAAGACUUCGCGUCCCCAGGUCUUUCAGCGUGCUUCUCAUGUACACGUGCGAUCUCUUUUCUUUUUCAACGGUACCAUGAACGAACGGCGCGAGACCGACCUGCACCAAUCUGUCAAGCAAUGACGAUGCUGGCCUUUCGUGCAUCGUCACCAGGACCAGCGGGGGAGGAAUCGGCAGUGGCCGGCUGUGCUAGCCAGAGCAGCAAGCCCUGGUGGCCAGCUGUUCUAGAGGGCUGGUGACUUGCCCGCCCUGUGGAUGUUGUGACCAGCUGUUCUGGCGACCUGGUAUCAUGCUUGCCUGCUGUUCGACUUGCGGAUCUUGUGGAUAGCUCUUCUAGCGACCUGGGGCGAGGAGUGGGUCAUGGUGGCUGUGACCUGCCCGUUCGAGAACCGGCCCGCAGCCCUGAACGCGGCCUGCGAUGCGAAGAAUGAGACGCCAACCUGUCCAAAUUCCAGAGGGUGUCCGUGGCGGCGAUUGUCGUUCAAGAAAUCGGAUCUUCGAACCCAGGAACGACCACGUGAUGCGCCGCUUCUGCAGCAGGAAGUACCUGCGGCUCUUGAAAAAGCUCGCAGUCAGUGAGACCAUCGCAGCCUAUCGCGUUCUCGCAACGUCUACGCAGUGCACAUCACCGCCAAGCGAAUAAACUUCUCUAGGCAGUCACAAACUACACUGACACACGCAUUUAUGCCAGUCCAAAAGCUUCAAACAAUGUGCAACAAACAGCACGCACCUUCAUGCCUGCUCAAAAACAAACAGUAAAACUCAAGUGUCUUGGGUCAUUUAUUAACCCUUCUUAAAAAGAGAAAGAUUUACUAACCUAGUCAAGCCGAGUUUCGCCGUCGCCAGCAAUUUGACCUUUAUUUGACUGCAGCUGCGCCGUAGCCUUGGCUACGCAUCACGUGACUCGCCGCGUCCAGCUCCGCCGGCAUGGCUUGGCGCAUGCGCUCUCUGGAGCGGGGUCGCCGCCAGACCACGUGACUCGCGGCGUGCCUGCCUAAAGGAAACGCCGCGCUCGGGAUGGAUGAGAGCGAGGUCGGGCCGUCUUCUCUGAGCGUUGCGCGGGAGCGGGAGGCUUUGAGCCAUCGUCGUCAAGGGGCGUCUCACCUCCCAGCGAAUAUCACCCGGCGGCAUAUAUUGAAAAUCUAGAACGCACAGCACCUUAGCAACAGCGGUAGAACCAGAUUGGUGGAAACGGUGACGCUUGACGCCCUUUUCAACCGCUGUGAGAGUA